rnacentral:rRNA from 1 species
AUGAACGCUGGCGGCGUGCCUAAUACCUGCAAGUCGAGCGAACAGACGAGGAGCUUGCUCCUCUGACGUUAGCGGCGGACGGGUGAGUAACACGUGGAUAACCUACCUAUAAGACUGGGAUAACUUCGGGAAACCGGAGCUAAUACCGGAUAACAUGUUGAACCGCAUGGUUCAACAGUGAAAGACGGUCUUGCUGUCGCUUAUAGAUGGAUCCGCGCCGCAUUAGCUAGUUGGUAAGGUAACGGCUUACCAAGGCAACGAUGCGUAGCCGACCUGAGAGGGUGAUCGGCCACACUGGAACUGAGACACGGUCCAGACUCCUACGGGAGGCAGCAGUAGGGAAUCUUCCGCAAUGGGCGAAAGCCUGACGGAGCAACGCCGCGUGAGUGAAGAAGGUCUUCGGAUCGUAAAACUCUGUUAUUAGGGAAGAACAAAUGUGUAAGUAACUAUGCACGUCUUGACGGUACCUAAUCAGAAAGCCACGGCUAACUACGUG